AAGUCGAACGGUAACAGGUUAAGCUGACGAGUGGCGAACGGGUGAGUAAUAUAUCGGAACGUGCCCAGUCGUGGGGGAUAACUGCUCGAAAGAGCAGCUAAUACCGCAUACGACCUGAGGGUGAAAGCGGGGGAUCGCAAGACCUCGCGCGAUUGGAGCGGCCGAUAUCAGAUUAGGUAGUUGGUGGGGUAAAGGCCCACCAAGCCAACGAUCUGUAGCUGGUCUGAGAGGACGACCAGCCACACUGGGACUGAGACACGGCCCAGACUCCUACGGGAGGCAGCAGUGGGGAAUUUUGGACAAUGGGCGCAAGCCUGAUCCAGCCAUGCCGCGUGCGGGAAGAAGGCCUUCGGGUUGUAAACCGCUUUUGUCAGGGAAGAAAAGGUUCUGGUUAAUACCUGGGACUCAUGACGGUACCUGAAGAAUAAGCACCGGCUAACUACGUGCCAGCAGCCGCGGUAAUACGUAGGGUGCAAGCGUUAAUCGGAAUUACUGGGCGUAAAGCGUGCGCAGGCGGUUAUGCAAGACAGAGGUGAAAUCCCCGGGCUCAACCUGGGAACUGCCUUUGUGACUGCAUGGCUAGAGUACGGUAGAGGGGGAUGGAAUUCCGCGUGUAGCAGUGAAAUGCGUAGAUAUGCGGAGGAACACCGAUGGCGAAGGC
rnacentral:rRNA from 1 species